UUGUUGUUGUUUGAUUUGGUGUCGUGUCUCUGUCUUGUUUGCUCGUUUCUCUGCAAUAGUUUGUAUCGUAGAAAGCAAAGUAUCACUUACUGUCGUUGGUAUGAGUUCCUUCAGUUUGUUCAGUCUUUGUUCUUGUUGUUUGAUGUAAUAGUUGAUUCGUCUAUGACAGUCGUUAAUUCGUGCUCGUAUCAGUCGUCUGCUCUGCGUUGAUAACACU